rnacentral:lncRNA from 1 species
CAUCGAUUAGGUUUCAUGUGAAGCUUUUAGGCCAGGGGCAACUUCCCGGAGGGCAGGGAAGGAAAGGAGGGAAGACCGGGGCGUUUGGGAUAGGUAGGGUUAGGCUUAGGUAGGAGAGAAUCCUAGGAUUCUGCUUAUUGCGGUGGAAGGGGAGAUGCAGAGUCCGGACACAGCGGAGAGGAUGAUAAAAUAAAGGAAUGGGAGAAUUCAGAACAGUCUAGGCACUGAGUUCCUUGGAGUGCCCUGGGAGAAAAAAACAACAUGCCUGAAUUGGGCAUAACUGCACCACAAGUGAAAUUAAGUGUUCUUCUUAGAAUCUAUUUGAUGAUGGCCAUAAGGGAAGUUCUUCUACUAACUAACCCAAUAGAUGUGCCCAAGUAUUCCUGCAUGGGAUUGCUAAACAAGAGAAUGAAAGGGAUUCAGACAAAAGAUCAGGUCUGGACAGGAGAACUGCUAUCUUCUUUGUGUCAAAGGUUCACAAGCCAACCCAAGGCUUUUUUGGUACCCAAGGCAGUGAAUGAAUUUAGCACAUACCCUAUUCAAUAUUGUGUAUUUCCCCAGUGAAGAUCAACCAGCUGCUGACAUUAUUGGGUCUUGGACAGAAAUUAAAACCUUUUUGUGUUUUUGUAUAUGCACUGACUGUUAAAUUAUUAACAAGGUAACAUGCUAAUUUAACGUAUCCAUAUUAAGUAUGAAUAACUUUUAUUCACAGCAUAUGGUGGGUUUGAUUUCUGUGUAAGAUUUAUUCAUGUUUGUAGNUGAUUUGAGUUGUUUGUUGUUGUACACUGUUCUCUGCUUAACAAACAGCAGUAUAAACAUCUUUUAAACAGAUAAGUAUGCUUCUAUGAUUCUAUGAUAAAAAGAGGAAUUAACUUCCCUUGAUACUGAAAUAAGACUAAUCAAAACCAUACAGCCUGGUUGUAGAAUUUGCCUGCUUGGAUUUAAGGUAGGUAGUACAUGCAUACAUACACUUUCCUGAUUUGCUAUUAAGAGCAAAGCUCCUUGGACUGAAGAGGAAGAAAAACAAUGUUUCAGAAUGUCCAGUAGAAAGCAGAUAGUCUGCUGUCCUUUGGACCGUUUUGCAGUUUCUCCC